rnacentral:misc_RNA from 1 species
ACUGCAAUGUUACGCAAGAGUUUGGUUUGGUCCACCGGGGGAACCCAGCCGGAGGCAGGGUCGCCCCCGAGGCAACGCGGUCGGACGACAGUGGGUAUAAUGAUUUCGACCCCGGCGCUGCAACCGCCAUUGCUAGCGGUCGACUUAGGAGCCGGGGUCUUUCACUAUGGUUAAUGAUCCCUCCGCAGGUUCACCUACGGAGACCUUGUUACGACUUUUACUUCCUCUAAAUGACCAAGA